AUAAUGAUACUUCUGCCCAGCCACAGACUCAAGCAAUGGGGGCAGCCACGGGUGAUCCUCGCGGUGGUGAGAUUCCAAUGA
rnacentral:ncRNA from 1 species